rnacentral:lncRNA from 12 species
AUGACAGCUCUCGGCAACCUCAGCUCGCGGACCACAGCACAGGAAGAGCUGCCAGCCUCGCUGAGAAGACACAGGUCUUCAGUGGGAAUGUCAUCGCAUGCAAGAGUUGUUACAGGUGCUCUUCCAAAAGAAAGCUUUACUGUCCUAGCGACGUCUGGGGAGGACCCUCCAGGAAAUUAUGCCCAGUUUGGAGACCGAGGGGGGGAGAGAAAAAAAAAAAAGCAAUUUGAAAAGGGUUGCAUGGCAUGCGAGGCCGUUUCUGUGGCAGUCCUGAAGCGACGGCGCCGUGGAAGCGCAGAACAGACGAGCGGUUUGCCGGGGGUGAGGGAUGCAUGCAGGUGGGAAGCCUGAGGCGGGAAACACGCUUUGCAUCUUGACCGUGAUGAGGGAGGCACCACCCUGUACGUGCAAGGAGAUCCCAGGCCGCGAACCCCGGCAACGCACGGGUGGGUACCUGAGAAAACGGCGAGGUGUGGGUAGAAGAGCGAUGCCUCGCACGCCCGCUGACACGUGCGUUGGGGUCGCGCACUACAGUUUGGCAAGGGGAGGGGGGAAGCAGGUAAAGUGUCCGCGAGGUUUCUCUAUAUUCUUCUUUGCAAUUGCGUGUGAACUACGGGGAUUUGCAAGGACAGACAUAAGAAGUCUAAUAAUCUCGAGCCACGUCAUAUAAUCCGCUUUAAAAAAGAAAAAAAAAAAGGCAAAUUUAACAACAGGGAAGUCUUUGCCAUCUUGGCUUCUGCCCGGUUGUGUUGGAAAUGCCAGUGUGUUUUACGGCUCACGUCGGAGCUGCUGGUAAAUGCACGUCUCAGUCCUUUCCCCAAAUGCUGAGGGCUGUGCACACACUGCUGCUCCAUGUGGCCGCCAGGCGGUCUCCGGUGCAUUCCGUCCUUGGCCAUCAAAUAAUGCGUUCCUAUUCCCCGCUGGGACGUGAGAAUGGAGCUCUGUGACGCAAGCACCCGAAAGGAUGCCCUGCACCGUCCGCCUCUCGGGACACGCAAACCAAAACGGGAGUGGGAUCUCGCUUCGCGCCCACUAGUUGCCAAGGAUGGAGGGAAAUGCGGAUUGUCGCGCGUGGCUGGUGGGAACCUAAAAUGCCACGGGCAUCCUGGAACGUGAAGGAGAAACCACGCGGUCUGGCGGUCCCGCUCCCCGGUACCCAUCUACCCAGGAGAGGCGGAAGCAUGUACGUGUGUGUGCAGCAGGGCUCAGAACAGCGUUAUUCACAGUAGCCAUGGAAACAACCCAAGUGGACCAACAGAUCCACGGAUGGACUAUUACUCAGCCAUGAAAAGGAACGGAGCUCGGACACCUGCUACCGUGUGCACAGACCACGAACACAUGAUGCUCAGGGACAGAAGUCAAGGUCCCCAAGACCACGUAGGACACGAUUCCAUUUCUAAGAAAAUCUCAGUGGAGGGAAAACAAAGCAACCACCACGUUGAAAACAUGCCCGUGACCUUUCUGAAAUUCUACACAAGCAGCUCUGCCGUUUGACGUGCAGGAUGUCAUGCCAACUAAGCCCAGUAACACUACGGGGUGUGGGGGGGCAUAUCCCAUUAUAGGGUCAUGUGCAUUGCUAGAAAAGGAAUGAACUGGAAGCUCAGGUCGGGAUCUCAGGGCCAGGGGAUCAAGCAUUGCAUGAGGCUCUGCAGUUAGCAGGGUCUGCUUGAAGACUUCCUCAGUCUCCCUCUCCCUCAACUAAAUGAAUGGGAAGGAAGGAAGGAAGGAAGGAAGGAAGGAAGGAAGGAAGGAAGGAAGGAAGGAAGGAAGGAAGGAAAGCAGGCUGUUGAUAAUGUCACCAUCAAGAAAAGAACCAUCCAGACAAACCCAAGUAUUUUCCGCCCCUGUAGGCUUGGAUUCCAAUAAACCACAGAGAAACGAUCCA